GCCCGUGUAGCUCACUGAUUAGAGCAUCCACCCAAGCACUGAAGGGUCACGGGUUCAAUUCCUGGUCAAGGGCA
rfam:Myotis brandtii contig252916, whole genome shotgun sequence.